rnacentral:lncRNA from 1 species
GGGUUAAGGGUUAGGGGUUAAGGGUUAGGGUUAGCUCUAGAGUUGUCUAUCUUGGGGUUAGGGUUAAGGGGUUAGGGUUAAGGGUUAGGGUUAGGGAGAAGCUCUAGAGUUGUCUAUCUUGGGGUUAGGGUUAAGGUUUAGGGUUAGCUCUAGAGUUGUCUAUCUUGGGGUUAGGGUUAAGGGUUAGGGAGAAGCUCUAGAGUUGUCUAUCUUGGGGUUAGGGUUAAGCGGUUAGGGUUAAGGGUUAGGGAGAAGCUCUAGAGUUGUCUAUCUUGGGGUUAGCGUACUUGCCUCUGUGUCAAGGGACCCGAGUUGGAACAUGUAUCAUUGAUAAAUGUAUACAGUUCUGUGGCGUGGUUAUCAUUCUGUCAAGGCUCUCUCUCAAAACCAACUACCUGCUGGACUAGGGGCUGACUAGCUGAGGCUAUACUGGACUAGGGGCUGACUAGCUGAGGCUAUACAGUACUACCUGCUGGACUAGCUGAGGCUAUACUGUACUACCUGCUGGACUAGGAGCUGGACUAGCUGAGGCUAUACUGGACUACCUGCUGGACUAGGAGCUGGACUAGCUGAGGCUAUACUGUACUACCUGCUGGACUAGCUGAGGCUAUACUGUACUACCUGCUGGACUAGGAGCUGGACUAGCUGAGGCUAUACUGUACUACCUGCUGGACUAGCUGAGGCUAUACUGUACUACCUGCUGGACUACCUGCUG